UCGACAAGCUUCCAUCAUCUACCUGUGGUGUGUGUCUACAUCGACAAGCUGUCCAUCAUCUACCUGUGUGUGUGUGUCUACAACGACAAGCUGUCCAUCAUCUACCUGUGUGUGUGUGUACAUCGACAAGCUGUCCAUCAUCUACCUGUGUGUGUGGUCCACAAAUCGACAAGCUGUCCAUCAUCUACCUGUGUGUGUGCUACUCGACAAGCGUCCUCAUCUACCUGUGUGUGUGUGUCUACAUCGACAAGCUGUCCAUCAUCUACCUGUGUGUGUGUGUCUACAUCGACAAGCUGUCCAUCAUCUACCUGUGUGUGGUGUCUACAUCGACAAGCCCCAUCAUCUACUGGGUGUGUGGUUCCUACAUCGACAGCUGUCCAUCAUCUACCUGUGUGUGUGUCUACAUCGACAAGCUGUCCAUCAUUCUACCUGUGGUGUCUACAUCGACAAGCUGCCCAUCAUCUACCUGUGUGUGUGUGUGUCUACACAACAAGCUGUCCAUCAUCUACCUGUGUGUGUGCUACAAUCGACAAGCUGUCCAUCAUCUACCUGUGUGUCUCUACAUCGACAAGCUGUCCAUCAUCUACCUGUUGGUGUUCUACCUACAUCGACUAAGCGUGUCCAUCAUCUACCUGUGUGUGUGGGCUACAUCGACAAGCUGUCCAUCAUCUACAUGGGGUGUGUGUCUACAUCGACAAGCUGUCCAUCAUCUACCUGUGUGGUGUGGUCGUACAAUCGACAAGCUGUCCAUCAUCUACCUGUGGGUGGCUACACAUCGACAAGCGUCCAUCAUCUACCUGUGUGUGUCCUACAUCGACAAGCUGUCCAUCAUCUACCUGGGUGUGUGUCUACACGAAACUGUCCAUCACUACCUGGGUGUGUUCUACACAUCGACAAGCUGUCCAUCAUCUACCUGUGUGUGUGUGUCUACACAUCGACAAGCUGUCCAUCAUCUACCUGUGUGUGUGUGUCUACAUCGACAAGCUGUCCAUCAUCUACCUGUGUGGUGUGUCUACAUCGACAAGCUGUCCAUCAUCUACCUGUGUGUGUCGUACAACGACAGCUGCCAUCAUCUACCUUGUGUGUGGGUCUACAAUCGACAAGCUGCCCAUCAUCUACCUGUGUGUGUGUGUCUACAUCGACAAGCGGUCCUCAUCACCUGUGUGUGUGUGGCGACAAUCGACAAGCUGUCCAUCAUCUACUGU
rnacentral:lncRNA from 1 species